CGCCGUGGACAUUACAUCAUAGCUGCUUAUCCUGAGCUGCGUCAUAGAAGAACAGCUGAUACAUGCACAGACGUUUCUCCGCAGGACCACUGACGAGAGACAACGGACCACCGUCAACCGGAGCUCGAGACUCCCUGAGAUUAAGGUUCAAGACUAUCAUUCCACUGGCAACCAGUAACUGAUCAAACAUGGGCAAAGAAUUCAGAGGUACAGUUGCAGAUCACCCUGACUUUGAUGCAGGCAGUGAUGCAGAGGCCCUGUAUGAUGCCAUGAAAGGCUUUGGAAGUGACAAGGAGGCCAUCUUAGAACUGAUUGCUUCACGAAGCAAUAGGCAGGAGAUACGUGCUGCCUACAAAUCACAGUUUGGGAAUGAUUUAAUUGAUGAUCUGAAAUACGAGCUGACAGGGAAGUUUGAACGUCUGAUUGUGGGUUUGAUGAGACCUCCAGCCUAUCAUGAUGCUAAAGAAAUCAAGGAUGCCAUUAAGGGAGCAGGAACAGAUGAGAAAUGUUUGAUUGAAAUUCUCGCUUCAAGAACCAAUGAGCAGAUUCAUAAUCUGGUGGCAGCAUACAAAGAUGCAUAUGACAGAGACCUUGAGGAGGAUGUUAUAGGGGACACAUCUGGACAUUUUAAGAAGAUGCUGGUUGUUUUGCUUCAGGGGACCAGAGAGGAAGAUGAUGUUGUUAGUGAAGACCUCGUGGAGCAAGAUGCUCAAGACCUGUAUGACGCAGGAGAGGCACAGUGGGGCACAGACGAGGCCAAAUUCAUCAUGCUGCUGGGAAACCGAAGUGUGACCCAUUUGCAGUUGGUUUUUGAUGAAUACCAGAAAAUUGCUGAGAAGUCCAUUGAGGACAGUAUUAAGAGUGAGCUCUCCGGAGACUUUGAAACACUGAUGUUGGCUGUCGUUCAGUGCAUCAGGAGUAAGCCCAUGUUCUUCGCCAGACGCCUUUACAAAUCCAUGAAGGGUCUGGGCACGGCUGAUAACACUCUGAUCCGCAUCAUGGUCUGCCGCUCUGAGAUUGACAUGCUGGACAUCAGAGAGUGCUUCAGACUGCGCUAUGAGAAAUCUCUGUAUAACAUGAUUCAGGAUGACACAUCCGGGGAUUACAAGCGCACCCUGCUGAAACUGUGUGGAGGAGAUGAUGAUAUUGCAGGGGAGUUCUUCCCAGAGGCUGCACAGAUUGCCUACAAGAUGUGGGAAAUCAGCGCCAUGACCAAAGUCCAGUUACGAGGAACUGUGCGACCAUACCAAAAUUUUGACCCUGCGAGUGAUGCUCAAGCUCUGAGAAAAGCAAUGAAGGGAUUUGGAACUGAUGAAGAUACGAUUAUUGACAUUGUGGCAAACAGGAGCAAUGCACAGAGACAGGAGAUCAGACAGACUUUUAAAUCUCUUUUGGGACGGGAUCUCAUGGCUGACCUAAAAUCAGAACUGUCCAAAAACCUCGAAAGACUCAUCCUGGGUCUCAUGAUGACUCCAGCAGAGUUUGAUGCUAAGAUGAUGAAGAAAGCCAUGGAGGGCGCAGGGACCGAUGAACAUGCAUUGAUUGAGAUCCUGGUCACUAGGAACAACCAGGAGAUUCAGGAGAUGUGCUCUGCCUAUCAGAAUGCUUAUAAAAAAAGUUUGGAGGAUGCCAUCGCAUCAGAAACAUCUGGGCAUUUCAAACGGAUCCUGAUAUCUUUGGCACAGGGAACCCGUGAGGAGGACCCAGCAGACAUGGCCAGGGCCUUAGAAGAUGCCCAGGAAUUGGCAGAUGCAUGCAAUGCAGACUCCGGUGACUUGGAGGACAGGUUCAUGAGUAUUCUGUGCACGAGGAGUUUUCCUCACCUGAGGAGAGUGUUCCAGGAAUUUGUGAGGUGCAGCAACAAAGAUAUCGAGCAGAUUAUAAAGAAGGAGAUGUCAGGAGAUAUUAAAAAUGCCAUGUUUGCUAUUGUGCGGAGUGUGAAGAAUCAGCCGUCUUACUUUGCUGACCGAUUGUACAAAGCCAUGAAGGGCCUGGGAACAGACGACAGGGCUCUGAUCCGUAUCAUGGUGUCCCGCUCCGAGAUUGACCUCUUCAACAUCCGCAAAGAGUUCAAGGAGACCCAUGACGCCUCUUUGCAUGAAUUCAUCCAGGCGUUGCACAUCCUCUUUUGGUUAAGUCGAGGGGAACAGAGUGUUUGACAGGUUCCUGCGGUGUACUCGCUCGACUCAGCUGUUUAGGAAUUCCCCCCUGCAUGCUUGACUUCCUCUCAGUGUGCUGAAUCUGAUUGGUGGAGAGAAUGGAGACAGGAAGUGUUCAAUAACAGGGUGACACAUCAGGAGACUAUCGUAAAAUCCUUUUGAUUCUCUGUGGAGGUGAGGACUAGAACAUUGUCUGUCGUCCGGGAUGUAUCACACAGGAUAUUCAUGCCAAGUAACCAGUGCACUGUGUCCCCAUUCAUUGUUUGUGAGUUUCUAGUGACAUACAGUCUUUGUGCCCUCUGCUGCCAUGCCAAUGCCAAAGCUAAUGACCUGUGCAGAAGCCACACCUAGUCCCAUUUUCUAAAAAUCGUGCGCGAAACACUUUUUUUUUUUUUUUUUACAGUUAAAAGCACUUUUUAUGGUGUUACCGUACUACUAGUGCUUUAUUUGUUACCCAACAUCCUGUUUAAAUUGAUUACCCCAGAAAUAAAAGGACGUGAUCGUGUUUUGAGUUUGUGUUGUUAGAUGGACACCAUUGUUGUUGUGUUUUAAUACCAAAAGUUGCAUUAAAUCUAGUACAGAAUGUGGUGAUAUGCUUCUGAACACAGUACCAAAAUUGUUGAUCAUACAAAAGAUCUGCACACUUGUUAUUCUCCUUUUAUUCAGAAAAAGUUCAAAGUGGCAACGUUUCGGUCAAAGACUGAAGUUUUAAUUAUCUGAUGUUUUUUUACACCUGGCCAAGAUGUGUGUACUUUGACUUUUUUCAUACAAAUGUAAACAAAUAAAAUGAAUGACUUGCGGUCACGUA